rnacentral:ncRNA from 1 species
CCUUCGCCGCUUGUUCCAGGUGCUCUGUGACCCACGGGUCGACUGAGUGAAACAGGGAAGCCGGUGAGUGAGCGCACUUGUACACAGUGCUGCCGCGAUUCCGGCGCUGCCCCCGCAACGGUAAAUGAGUCAAGACGGUGCUGUUUGCCACUGUAUCGCCUGCGAUAUGGGAAGGCGCGCCGUCGGCGUGCGCUCUAGCGCGCCACUCAUGAGCCCGGAGACCGGCCUGGAUCAUCCAACAGCAU